UUUUCCUCCUUGUUUGUUUCUCUCUACUUCUCUUUUUUCUCUCUUUCGUCCCGUGGCUAUCGCAUGUCGUUGAUUUCGUUGCUGAAUUUUGCAAUUGUGUUCGAGUUGUUGGUUUUCACGGCCAUGUCCUUCUUUAGCCCAGAGAAUCCAUGUUGACGCUGGCAAUGCUCAUUUGGUUGCAAGUUUCUGUUGCUGCCAAUGUUUUGUUGAUGUGCAGAUUGAAGGGAUGUAUAGGCUUCCUAUUCUUUCUUGUUUCCCCUUGAGUUGUUCAGGCACGAGUCUUUUUUUAAAAGAUCACGCAUUUGUUUCUAUC